rnacentral:rRNA from 1 species
AGUGAACGCUGGCGGUAGGCCUAACACAUGCAAGUCGAACGGCAGCACAGUAAGAGCUUGCUCUUACGGGUGGCGAGUGGCGGACGGGUGGGGAAUACAUCGGAAUCUACUUUUUCGUGGGGGAUAACGUAGGGAAACUUACGCUAAUACCGCAUACGACCUACGGGUGAAAGCAGGGGAUCUUCGGACCUUACGCGAUUGAAUGAGCCGAUGUCGGAUUAGCUAGUUGGCGGGGUAAAGGCCCACCAAGGCGACGAUCCGUAGCUGGUCUGAGAGGAUGAUCAGCCACACUGGAACUGAGACACGGUCCAGACUCCUACGGGAGGCAGCAGUGGGGAAUAUUGGACAAUGGGCGCAAGCCUGAUCCAGCCAUACCGCGUGGGUGAAGAAGGCCUUCGGGUUGUAAAGCCCUUUUGUUGGGAAAGAAAAGCAGCAGGUUAAUACCCCGCUGUUCUGACGGUACCCAAAGAAUAAGCACCGGCUAACUUCGUG